UGAGGAAUAUUGGUCAAUGGACGAGAGUCUGAACCAGCCAAGUAGCGUGCAGGAUGACGGCCCUAUGGGUUGUAAACUGCUUUUGUUUGGGAAUAAUCGACAUUACGUGUAAUGUUUUGCAUGUACCAUUCGAAUAAGGACCGGCUAAUUCCGUGCCAGCAGCCGCGGUAAUACGGAAGGUCCAGGCGUUGUCCGGAUUUAUUGGGCGUAAAGCGAGCGCAGGCGGUUAGAAAAGUCUGAAGUGAAAGGCAGUGGCUCAACCAUUGUAGGCUUUGGAAACUGUUUAACUUGAGUGCAGAAGGGGAGAGUGGAAUUCCAUGUGUAGCGGUGAAAUGCGUAGAUAUAUGGAGGAACACCGGUGGCGAAAGCGGCUCUCUGGUCUGUAACUGACGCUGAGGCUCGAAAGCGUGGGGAGCGAACAGG
rnacentral:rRNA from 1 species